rnacentral:rRNA from 1 species
AACGAACGCUGGCGGCAGGCCUAACACAUGCAAGUCGAACGUGAAGCCACCUUCGGGUGGUGGAAAGUGGCAGACGGGUGAGUAACGCGUGGGAACCUACCUAGUGGUACGGAAUAACUCAGGGAAACUUGAGCUAAUACCGUAUACGCCCUCCGGGGGAAAGAUUUAUCGCCAUUAGAUGGGCCCGCGUCGGAUUAGCUUGUUGGUGGGGUAAUGGCCUACCAAGGCGACGAUCCGUAGCUGGUCUGAGAGGAUGAUCAGCCACACUGGGACUGAGACACGGCCCAGACUCCUGCGGGAGGCAGCAGUGGGGAAUAUUGGACAAUGGGGGAAACCCUGAUCCAGCCAUGCCGCGUGAGUGACGAAGGCCUUAGGGUUGUAAAACUCUUUCACCGGUGAAGAUAAUGACGGUAGCCGGAGAAGAAGCCCCGGCUAACUCCGUG